GUACACACCGCCCGUCACACCAUGGGAGUGGGUUGUACCAGAAGUGGGUAGCCUAACCGCAAGGAGGGCGCUCACCACGGUAUGAUUCAUGACUGGGGUGAAGUCGUAACAAGGUAGCCGUAGGUGAACCUGCAGAAGGAUCA
rnacentral:rRNA from 1 species